rnacentral:rRNA from 1 species
GACGAACGCUGGCGGCGUGCUUAACACAUGCAAGUCGAGCGGUAAGGCCCUUUCGGGGGUACACGAGCGGCGAACGGGUGAGUAACACGUGGGUGACCUGCCCUCAGCUCUGGGAUAAGCCCGGGAAACUGGGUCUAAUACCGGAUAUGACUCCACGGUGCAUGUCGUGGGGUGGAAAGCCUUGUGCGGCUGAGGAUGGGCCCGCGGCCUAUCAGCUUGUUGGUGGGGUGAUGGCCACCAAGGCGACGACGGGUAGCCGGCCCUGAGGAGGGCCGACCGG